AUUGAACGCUGGCGGCAGGCUUAACACAUGCAAGUCGAGCGAGCGGCGGACGGGUGAGUAAUGUCUGGGAAAAUGCCUGAUGGAGGGGGAUAACUACUGGAAACGGUAGCUAAUACCGCAUACCAUCAGAUGUGCCCCGAUGGGAUAAGCUAGUAGGUGGGGUAAUGGCUCACCUAGGAGAAGAUCACUAGCUGGUCUGAGAGGAUGACCAGCCACACUGUAACUUGGACCAGGUCCAACGCCCUACGGGAGGCAGCAGUGGGGAAUAUUGCACAAUGGGGGCAAGCCUGAUGCAGCCAUGCCGCGUGGGUGAAGAAGGCCUUCGGGUUGUAAAGCACUUUCAGCGAGGAGGCGUUACUCGCAGAAGAAGCACCGGCUAACUCCGUGCCAGCAGCCGCGGUAAUAC
rnacentral:rRNA from 1 species